UCCUCCUCCUCUCUGGGACUCUGGCAUUGAUGGUGUGUGCUGCGAUUCUCCUGACACCCCUCUUCCCUCCAAUUGAGAAGAUGAAAGAAACCAGGAAAACAAAGAUUCACGACUACACAUUGAGAGAGACUGGACACCUCUGAAGACCAGGCUUCCUCUCUUUAAUUACCAUCAUUCAGUCUGGCCGCUUUGACUGCGCUUAAAAAUAGAGCAGAUCUCCCCAGGGAAGGUCAUUAGCGAGUGGCACCGCUGCCGUUAGGGCCAGUGUCUGAAGACCACUCAUUUAUUUAUUUGAAUCUGAGCACGAGAGAAGCGCCCAGAGAAAGACACAGCUCAGCAGGACAGACCCACAUGGAACCGAUAAAACAAGGAAUAAAGGAACAUAACAGCAAGAAGAUGUUUGCUUUGGUAAUGUGGCAUUGCAAAAACAAAGACAAAAACACUUCAUAGACUGCCAUGGUUACAGUGCUUCUGUUUGCAAACACAAAGCAUUGCUCUUAGGUGGCACUGUUUUAUAAUUCAUUAUGCCUCUUAACUGGCAGACCUAUAUAUCAAGUGCAAAUGAUGAUCAUUCAUAAUUUAAUCA